rnacentral:lncRNA from 1 species
GCAGAGGGGUAGGUGGGGCGAGAAUUCCAGCACGCAUCGCUGCGCUGCGAGGAGAAUCACCUGCCACUAGGCGCACUGGCGCGAUAACUCUGCUGCGUGAACGCGACCGAGACUUUGCUAUUUCGAAGUUCAAUAAACGAUAUACCACGUCGAAUGCCAUAUCGUUCUAAAUUUGCAUCGGAGAAUACGACAACGAUGGAUUCAUCCGAAUCUUCUUUUGCCAGGGAUGAUAUGGCGUGCUGCGUUGCUUCCAAUGUGUGAU